rfam:Dictyostelium purpureum unplaced genomic scaffold DICPTscaffold_31, whole genome shotgun sequence.
UCUAUGAUGAGUAUCGGACACUUUUGAACUUAUUUGAAAACAAAACACGAUUUUUUUGCGUUAUCUAAUAUUUUCACUGAACA